rnacentral:rRNA from 1 species
UAGGGAAUCUUCCGCAAUGGACGCAAGUCUGACGGAGCAACGCCGCGUGAGUGAAGAAGGAUUUCGGUUCGUAAAACUCUGUUGUUAGAGAAGAACAGCGCAUAGAGUAACUGUUAUGCGUGUGACGGUAUCUAACCAGAAAGCCACGGCUAACUACGUGCCAGCAGCCGCGGUAAUACGUAGGUGGCAAGCGUUGUCCGGAUUUAUUUGGCGUAAAGCGAGCGCAGGCGGUCAAUUAAGUCUGAUGUGAAAGCCCCCGGCUCAACCGGGGAGGGUCAUUGGAAACUGGUUGACUUGAGUGCAGAAGAGGAGAGUGGAAUUCCAUGUGUAGCGGUGAAAUGCGUAGAUAUAUGGAGGAACACCAGUGGCGAAGGCGACUCUCUGGUCUGUAACUGACGCUGAGGAUCGAAAGCGUGGGUAGCAAACAGG